CCUACGGGUGGCAGCAGUGAGGAAUAUUGGUCAAUGGGCGCGAGCCUGAACCAGCCAAGUCGCGUGAGGGAAGACGGUCCUAUGGAUUGUAAACCUCUUUUGUCGGGGAGCAACAGACGCCACGCGUGGCGUUCCGAGAGUACCCGAAGAAUAAGCAUCGGCUAACUCCGUGCCAGCAGCCGCGGUAAUACGGAGGAUGCGAGCGUUAUCCGGAUUUAUUGGGUUUAAAGGGUGCGCAGGCGGAAGGUCAAGUCAGCGGUAAAAUUGAGAGGCUCAACCUCUUCGAGCCGUUGAAACUGGUUGUCUUGAGUGAGCGAGAGGUAGGCGGAAUGCGUGGUGUAGCGGUGAAAUGCAUAGAUAUCACGCAGAACUCCGAUUGCGAAGGCAGCAUACCGGCGCUCAACUGACGCUCAUGCACGAAGGUGUGGGUAUCGAACAGGAUUAGAUACCCCAGUAGUC
rnacentral:rRNA from 1 species